rnacentral:lncRNA from 1 species
UUUGUACGGAGUAAUAUUAUUAGUAAUUGAGUGAUUUGAACCCUAUGUUAAUUUUUCAGAUUGUUUAAUUCUGCUCUUAUUGUUUAAAAGGCUAUCAUAGGUGAUCAGGUAGUUUAAUCAACAAGAUAGUAACUGAUUUGUUUUCUAAAAUUGAAUCAUGUUGUGAAGUGUAGUUAUUGGUUGGGGGAGAAACUUACUUUGUUCUGAUCUGAGUUAUUUUGACAACUCCUAAUAUAGGGUGAUAGGAGAGGCCUUGGUUGAUUGUAACAAUUUUGAAACUGGUUUGUAGGAAUGUUAAUGUUGAUGCGUUGAAUUGGCGAAUGAAUUGUUUAACAGGUUAAUCCUCCGUUGCAGUUCCCUGUUCUAUCAGAUAUUAUGCAAUUCUGAGUUAGGUAACAAUAUCCAAAUGAAAUAGCAGAUGAGUAGAACCGAAACUUAAAGGAGCAAGCCACCUAUUGCCAUGCUUUACUGUGUUAGCUGAGCUAAAUAUGUCAAAGGUACCAUUUAAUUGGUUUAAAUUUUUAAUAUACAUUUGUUUUAUCAGGUCUGAAUUGCAGCCCAUUUCAAGUUGCAGUAUAUUUAACUGAAAAGUUAAAUUUUUUUAUUCACGUGAAGUCAAGUAUCACAUGUCACAAUCUAUCUGUAUUUUAGGUGGUUCGUUAUCAGCGAAUGAUAGUCUCGACUGUUAGUAAAUGGAUCUUGGAUUUACUACAAUUUCUGGUGAUUUUACGGUGAUUCAUCGGCGGGGUUUGUUAACUGAUUUAAAAUACACAAAGUAAAUAAAGAUAAACGAAACGAUAAUGCUGCGAUGUACAUAUGGUCGCUGCUUGUAAUGAAACCGAAAAGCAUAGUGAUACACACUCUGAAAUGAUGUUGCUGGCAAAUGUAGCAAUGUCAAAAAAUUUUCCCACGUAAAUUUUUUCCGAUGUUAACAUUUUUAUAAAAAAGGAUGAUUGUGUGGUUUAUUUAUUUUCCUUUAGCCAUGUUACUCCAUGACUUGUGAUAGAACUGUAACGGGUAAUGUCGUAAUGUUUGCCUCAAACAUAUUUUAUAUAUUAAUUUAUAUCAAAUAAUGAAUAUAUUGUAUGAUGAAAUGUUAAUAAACCAAAUCUUAAAUUACUUU